GGAACAGGAGAAUUGCAACGGAACUUAAGCGGGUAUCGCUGAAGCUUUCUGACGGUGCUCAUGGGUACAACAUAGAAUUUCUGGCCUAGCAUCAGUAUGGUGUCCUGUGGAACAAUAGCCCAAGGCUCCUGGAAGAUAUGUGGGCAAGCAACGACGCAUUUUGGGUUCCUGAGCAUGAUCUCUGAUGCAAGAAUAGGUCUGUCAUGGAGCUCUUUGCGUCCUCCAGGAUGAACAAUCUUGACGAACAUGUUCUUAG
rnacentral:misc_RNA from 1 species